rnacentral:rRNA from 1 species
UACGAAGGGGGCUAGCGUUGCUCGGAAUCACUGGGCGUAAAGCGCACGUAGGCGGAUGUGUCAGUCAGGGGUGAAAUCCCGGGGCUCAACCUCGGAACUGCCUUUGAUACAGCACGUCUUGAGUCCGAUAGAGGUGGGUGGAAUUCCUAGUGUAGAGGUGAAAUUCGUAGAUAUUAGGAAGAACACCGGUGGCGAAGGCGGCCCACUGGAUCGGUACUGACGCUGAGGUGCGAAAGCGUGGGGAGCAAACAGG